rnacentral:lncRNA from 1 species
AAGGGUCAUGUUCAGGCCAACGUAUUGAACAACAAUCAUUUCAAACGGAGUUAGGCUAAGAUUAUACUAACUUCUACAUCGUUUAUAACAUUUGUAGUGUGCAUACUGUAGAAUUAGUAGUUGGAAAGGUCAAAUUACAAAAAUUAGUGAGCAACAUAGUGCCUAAUGGAUUAUCGUCGUUUACCCAAUUGUUUUCCUCCUACAUAAAUAAUCUUAUGCGUAAUUCUAUAUAUCCAUUUCUCCCUAAACUAAUUUCAGUCCAGCAUUUCACUAAGCCAAGCUCCUCUAGCCUGGGUAUUCUGGAACGGAUAGAAACUGGCCAUGUCGACUGCCUGUAAAAGUGGCCUGCUCCGAGCUUAGAUAUCCAUUUAUCAGCAUAACGACUCAUCUUAACUGCCUCCUGAAAUCUGGGGUUUAGCCUAGUGCAUGGAUAGAAUCAUGGGAAAUUGUCGACCUCAAAAGUCAUUCACGUCGAUUUUCUAAAAAAAUAUUGUAUGCUAACAUUCACUUUCAACUGUAUGUUACGUUAAAGGAAAGCCAUAUUUCAUUACUAGAAUAAUAACAGAGCAAAAGUUACAAACAG